CCGCCCGCGUGACGCAGAGCUGCGGGCGCGCGCGCGCUGGGGCCCCUCACUGCCCCGCGACCUAGCGCGGGCGCCGAGGAAUGGAUCCUUCCAGCCCAACCAGCAGGGGCGAUAAGGAGAGGGGGCUUCGUAGCCCUGGGCAACGGCACGCGCCGCACGGAUCGUCCCAAGCCAACGAGAGGGGGUUUCUCAGCCCUGGGCAGUGACACAAGCCGUGUUCCAACCCAAGAAGAACAAAAUAGGAAGCUGUCACCUUGAUAGACAAAUCUGAGUAUGAAUCGGAUGCUUCUGAUCCAAUCUGCAUACAUAGGAAAACAGAUAGUUUUCAAAGUUGCUGGAGCCUAGCUGUCACUACAACUUUCUAGAGACCAGGAUUGUUUUCUCUUCUUUCCUUUCUUCACCCAAAUAAAAGUCUCCUUAUUUAUCUGAUCUGGUCCCGGUUUGAGGAAGAAGAGAUGCUGCCCAUGGGAAAGGGUGAUGCUGCACAAUGGAAGAAUUCAAAAUGGACAGGAAAUCCUCAGACUUUGGGAGUGGGGGAAGAGGAGUAAAGACUUCAGCUGGAAUUAGGUGUAACAUUUCUCUGACUCCCACUACAACUGCUCUAUGUAAUAAGUUUUAAUUAGGAGUAAAGUAUCUCCUUGCUUUGAGCAAUACCAAAUGAUUAAAGAUUUCAGCUUAUUAAAGAGUC